rnacentral:rRNA from 1 species
CUUGGUCAUUUAGAGGAAGUAAAAGUCGUAACAAGGUUUCCGCAGGUGAACCUGCGGAAGGAUCAUUAUCGAUUUUCGAGGAGGAAGAUGGAAAGUCCAAGUCUGUCGCUGGCCCUUGCAAAGGGGCAUGUGCACGUCUUUGCCUUUCGUCGACCUUUCUCAUAAUACACACCUGUGCACCCAUUUGUAGGUCUUCGAAAGGGGAUGCUACGUUUUUCACAUCACAUCUAUCGUAUGUCUACAGAAUGUUAUCAAAGACUGUUGACCAGGCUUUGCCCUGGUUGGCUUGUCGAUAAAUAAAAUAAAAUACAACUUUCAGCAACGGAUCUCUUGGCUCUCGCAUCGAUGAAGAACGCAGCGAAUUGCGAUAAGUAAUGUGAAUUGCAGAUUUCCAGUGAAUCAUCGAAUCUUUGAACGCACCUUGCGCUCCUUGGUAUUCCGAGGAGCAUGCCUGUUUGAGUGUCAUCGAAUUCUCAACCAUGUCUUGAUUGAUUUCAAGCGCAUGGCUUGGAUCUUGGGGGUUGCUGGUGGCCAAUCACAGCCAUCAGCUCUCCUGAAAUGCAUUAGCAAUGGGUUGUCUGGUCUAUUGAUGUGCACGGCCUUUGACGUGAUAAUGAUCGUCGUGGCUGGAGCGUUUUUAAGACCAUGCAUGAAUAGCCUAAGCUUCUAAUAAUGAUAAAGAUAAGAUUUGGAUCCGUUGGUCUUGGAGAAACUGAGCUUUAGUUACUAGUCAGCCGUGAGGCUGGCGAACACAGAGCAAAGAUUUUCUGGACUUGCAUUUCCUUCCUUUUCAUUUCGAAACUUGACCUCAAAUCAGGUAGGACUACCCGCUGAACUUAAGCAUAUCAAUAAGCGGAGGAGAAGAAACUAACAAGGAUUCCCCUAGUAACUGCGAGUGAAGCGGGAUGAGCUCAAAUUUUGAAUCUGGCGGUCUUUGGCCGUCCGAGUUGUAAUCUAGAGAAGCGUCUUCCGCGCUGGACCGUGUACAAGUCUCCUGGAAGGGAGCGUCAUAGAGGGUGAGAAUCCCGUCUUUGCCACGGACUACCAGUGCUAUGUGAUGCGCUCUCGACGAGUCGAGUUGUUUGGGAAUGCAGCUCAAAAUGGGUGGUAAACUCCAUCUAAAGCUAAAUACAGGCGAGAGACCGAUAGCGAACAAGUACCGUGAGGGAAAGAUGAAAAGAACUUUGGAAAGAGAGUUAAACAGUACGUGAAAUUGCUGAAAGGGAAACGCUUGAUGUCAGUCGCGUCGGCUGGGGAUCAACCUUGCUUUUUCGCUGGGUGCAUUUCCUGGUCGAUGGGUCAGCAUCAGUUUCACUCGCCGUACAAUGGCAAAGGGAACGUGGCACUCUUCGGAGUGUGUUAUAGCCUUUCGUCAUAUGCGGUGGUCGGGACUGAGGAACUCGGCACGACUUCGGUCUGUGUCUAGGAUGCUGGCAUAAUGGCCUUAAGCGACCCGUCUUGAAACACGGACC